GCUCUCGUCGUCUAAUGGCUAUGAUAUCAGAUUCCUACCUUGGCACCCUGGGUGGAGUGAUCUGAAGGUUCCGGGUUCGAGUCCCGGCGGGAGUA